UGCGGGUGACUGGCUGUACAGUUCACUUUGUGGAAGAGGUGGAUGCAGGAGCCAUCAUCGUGCAGGAGGCGGUGCCCGUGAUGAGCUGCGACACCGAGGAGAGUCUGUGCGACAGAAUCAGGGAGGCCGUCCCCGCCGCCAUGGAGCUGGUGGCCAUCGGUGCCGUCACUCUCAGCGAGGACGGCCACAGCGUGUGGAAGACGAUCCCACAGAGUUAAAGACCAGACGUCACAAUCAACUUUAUACAUUCCUGUCAUUAAAACAAUUAAACAUUUGCUUCUGUUACGUAAAAAUUACACUUUAUUGUAAAAACAAGUCAGAAAUAGAAAACAAGUUUACACAGUAUUGUCUUUUGCUCUCUCUCUUGUCUCUUGCUUCCUAUUGUCAAAUCCAGUUGAGUUGAUAUUGGUAGAUUAAUGUAGAAAUUCCACUUUAAAGAAGCAUCUUACUUGAAAUGACUAAUACAUUCCGAUGCUAAAUGUUACAGUUUGAAUUUUGUCUGCAAUGGAAUGAGCUUGGUGUGACUUGUGCUGCUUGCAUUGGCUUAAUGACCUCUUGUCCAUCAUUAAUAAAAUGUCUCUGUUGCAGUGUUGCAUACAGUUUUCAUGUCAGCAGAAGCCCCCCCCC